rnacentral:rRNA from 1 species
AAACGACUCUCGGCAACGGAUAUCUCGGCUCUCGCAUCGAUGAAGAACGUAGCGAAAUGCGAUACUUGGUGUGAAUUGCAGAAUCCCGUGAAUCAUCGAGUCUUUGAACGCAAGUUGCGCCCCGAACCUUUUGGCCGAAGGCACGUCUGCCUGGGUGUCACGC